AUUGAACGCUGGCGGCAGGCCUAACACGUGCAAGUCGAGCGCGAAAGGUUUUCGGACUGAGUAAAGCGGCGGACGGGUGAGUAACGCGUGGGAAUCUGCCCAGUAGUGGGGGACAACAGCCGGAAACGGCUGCUAAUACCGCAUACGCCCUACGGGGGAAAGGGGGGGAUCUUCGGACCUCUCGCUAUUGGAUGAGCCCGCGGCGGAUUAGCUAGUUGGUAGGGUAAAGGCCUACCAAGGCUACGAUCCGUAACUGGUCUGAGAGGAUGAUCAGUCACACUGGAACUGAGACACGGUCCAGACUCCUACGGGAGGCAGCAGUGGGGAAUAUUGGACAAUGGGCGCAAGCCUGAUCCAGCCAUGCCGCGUGUGUGAAGAAGGCCUUAGGGUUGUAGAGCACUUUCAGUGGGGAGAAAGGUUUGUCACCUAAUACGUGAUGAGAUUGAUGUUACCCACAGAAGAAGCACCGGCUAACUCCGUGCCAGCCGCCGCCGUAAGAC
rnacentral:rRNA from 1 species